rnacentral:rRNA from 1 species
AGAGUUUGAUCAUGGCUCAGGAUGAACGCUGGCGGCAUGCCUAAUACAUGCAAGUCGAACGGAAUCUUAUAUGUUCCUCGUUUUGGAUUAAGUUCCAAGUUGAGGAACAAUAAGAUUUAGUGGCGGACGGGUGAGUAACACGUUGGUACUUACCCUCUAGUGGGGAAUAACUUCGAGAAAUCGAGGCUAAUACCGCAUAAUAUCUACGGAUUAAAGCUUUAUGCGCUAGAGGAGGGGCCUGCGUCUGAUUAGCUUGUUGGUGAGGUAAAAGCUCACCAAGGCGACGAUCAGUAGCUGGAUCGAGAGAUUGACCAGCCACACUGGGACUGAGAUACGGCCCAGACUCCUACGGGAGGCAGCAGUAAGGAAUCUUCCACAAUGGGCGAAAGCCUGAUGGAGCAAUGCCGCGUGCAGGAUGACGGCCUUCGGGUUGUAAACUGCCUUUAUAUGGGAAGAUUAUGACGGUACCAUAUGAAUAAGGACCGGCUAACUACGUG